rnacentral:rRNA from 1 species
AGAGUUUGAUCCUGGCUCAGGAUGAACGCUGGCGGCGUGCUUAACACAUGCAAGUCGAACGGAGAAUUAGAGUUUACUUUAAUUUUUAGUGGCGGACGGGUGAGUAACGCGUGGGUAACCUGCCCUUAAGUGGGGGACAACAGUUGGAAACGACUGCUAAUACCGCAUAAAGUUAUUUGGUAGCAUUAUCAGAUAACCAAAGGAGUAAUCCGCUUUUGGAUGGACCCGCGUCUGAUUAGCUAGUUGGUGGGGUAACGGCCUACCAAGGCGACGAUCAGUAGCCGGCCUGAGAGGGUGAUCGGCCACACUGGGACUGAGACACGGCCCAGACUCCUACGGGAGGCAGCAGUGGGGAAUCUUCCGCAAUGGACGAAAGUCUGACGGAGCAACGCCGCGUGGGGGAUGAAGGCUUUCGGGUUGUAAACCUCUGUCUUUGGGGAAGAAAAAAAUGACGGUACCCAAGGAGGAAGCCCCGGCUAACUACGUGCCAGCAGCCGCGGUAAUACGGGGGGUGCAAGCGUUGUUCGGAAUUAUUGGGCGUAAAGCGCGUGUAGGCGGUCUGAUUAGUCUGAUGUGAAAGCCCUGGGCUCAACCCAGGAAGUGCAUUGGAUACUGUCAGACUUGAAUACGGGAGAGGGUAGUGGAAUUCCUAGUGUAGGAGUGAAAUCCGUAGAUAUUAGGAGGAACACCGGUGGCGAAGGCGGCUACCUGGACCGAUAUUGACGCUGAGACGCGAAAGCGUGGGUAGCAAACAGGAUUAGAUACCCUGGUAGUCC